rnacentral:misc_RNA from 1 species
GUGAAUCAUCAAAUUUUUGAACGCAUAUUGCACUCUCUGGUAUUCCGGAGAGUAUGCCUAUUUGAGGGUCAUUUGAAAUAAUAUAAAUGUCGAGAGUUUCUUGGAAUCAAAAAUGGGACGGUCCAGCAUUCGUGCGGUGGUCUCCUAAAAUGAAAGACAUGCUUAUUUCUUGGGUUGAGUGAUACUUUCAGUUACCUCUUGACUUCACAAGGAAUCUUUGAGCUUGUGAGGAAUUGUGCACGAGAUAAACUAUCAUUUAUUUAGAGGACA